rnacentral:lncRNA from 1 species
ACGGGAAUGAAAGUGAUUUAUUUAUUACACACAAAAACUUUUAUUAAAAAGGCUGGUAAUGGAACAUUUUAUUUUAAUCUAUCAGCUUGAUAAAAGGUUAAUUACAGAAACUGUGUAUAAUGUAUGUCACAUGGAUUGGUUAUUUAAAAAAAAAAAGACUUGAUAGAGGAUCUUUUAUCUUAGUUACAUUGUAAAGUGCCUUGUGUAGUCAUAUUCUAUUGUUGGAAUGACUGCCUGUACAAAUUUCAAGAAAAUAAGAAGGUACAUGUGAACUCCAAGUUCUCCUCCACCUUCUGCAACAGUCUCUAUUAUUUUCUUCAUCACUUCUGCAUGCCUGCAUGGAUGAACUGAGCACAUGGGAGGUGGAGGAAGGUGAGGAUGAUUUUCAAUGGUCACGGUUUUCUUGACAUGAUCUUGACUAAUGUCUUCAUACAUAUGCUCUACUGUUAAAGGCUGCCGUUGCUCAUCAUAUCCAAAUAACCAGAGCCUUGGAGUUUGGUAAUAUUUGUCGUAAGUGAUGUAGAGGUCAUAAGUUCUAGUCUGUAGAAUAGCAUCUUCUCCUCCAACAUCAACUUUAGCUUUAACUUCUACAAUCUGUCUUGUGUCAAGCGUUGCAUCAUCUGUCUCCAAUAGCCCACUUUCUUCAUACUCUUCCAUGUCUGCAGCUUCUCCUUCAUCUUCAUCAUCAUCAUCUUCACAGGAUGCUGAUCGCUCUGGUAUUUUUAUAUUAUCCUUACUGUCUAGUGUGAUCUCCUUAACUGCUUCUGUUGCACCCACUAUACCUGCGUUGUGAAAGGUGUCUACCCAUCCCCCAUCACCAUCAUCUUCUUCUAUAAUUGCUUCCUGUUCAUCUGAGUACUCCAUCUGCUUGCACCUUUUGUAGCACGGUACAUUUUUAGUUACCAAAAAUUGUUUGUCUGUUGGCAGAUAAGCCUUGACUUUUAGCUCUUCUCCUGAAGCCCAUUGCCAAGUAGGACAGUGGUGAACUAAGUGAUCGCCAGCUGCGACAAAUUCUUCAGGUGUAAUGACUCCAGUUUCUUUAAAUUUGGACUCCUUGAGAACGGGAGUGAGGUACUCGGCCACCUCCAGGGCCUUCCCCUUCACCGUGUUGAUGACGUUCUGCAUACCGCCGCCACAGGGCCACGGGAGCGAUCGCCGCAGCCAACGGUCACGGCGGCACCGGC